GAUUCCCCUAGUAACGGCGAGUGAACAGGGACAAGCCCAUCGCCGAAGCCUGUGUCCGUUUGGUCACUAGGCCAUGUGGUGUUAAGGUUGAACCGCAGUGGCACUGCUCCACCCUAAGUCCAGCAAUGAGUACGGUGGUAUGGACAUGGCCCGCAGAGGGUGAAAGGCCCGUGGGGGUGGAGAUCAGGUACGUCAGUGUCUCUCUGGGUAGACCUUGGAGUCGGGUUGUUUGUGAAUGCAGCCCAAAGUGGGUGGUAAACUCCAUCCAAGGCUAAAUACUGGCACGAGUCCGAUAGCGAACAAGUACCGUGAGGGAAAGUUGAAAAGUACUUUGAAGAGAGAGUAAACAGUGCGUGAAACCGCUCAGAAGUAAACGGGUGGAGUUGAACUGCAAGCACUGGGAAUUCAGACGGUGAGUAUGGCUUAAACUUGGUUAAAUUGGUUGAGCUUGAGAGUCUGUGUAAUGACAGGUCUCUACCCUUGUGGUGGUGGUGCGCGAUGUACUUAUCAUGUGUUGUGCGCUCUCAAUGCUUCGAACCGGCUUGUCGUUGCACUUUCCCAGUGUGAUCACCACGACCGGCAUUGUUGCCUGACUAUUGUGAUCAAACCGGUGUGACUUAGUCCUCGCGACUUUAUCACAUUGGGGUGGCAGGUGACUCGUUAGUCUAGUGUCUGUGUGAUUCAACGCAGGCAGUAGUAGCUAUUCGAGUGUAAUGAGCCGGUUGCAAUGGUUCUGUGCAGUGUACCGGAGACAGCGGCUUGGUGUGUGUGUGUGUGCGCAACGUUUCAAUCGGCUGGUUCGAGUCUGGUCAUGUUGUUGCCUGUCAAAGCAGGCCUCGUGAUGUCUCGGAUUUGUUCGUUUGAUGGUUGUGCAUACGACACUGUGAAGGGCCAAUAGUCUGUGGUGUAGUGGUAGACUGUCCACCUGACCCGUCUUGAAACACGGACCAAGGAGAGUAACAUGUACGCGAGUCACUGGGCACUACGAAACCCAGGGGCGUAGUGAAAGUAAAGGUCUGGCUUGCUUCUAGUCAGGCUAUGGUGAGAUCCUGCCGUUUCUCACGCGUGGUACCACCAAGCAUAGAGCGGUAGGCGCAUCACCGGCCCGUCUUAUGACAACUGUUUUCGAACAAUAAUCAGUCGGGGUGGAGCAUGAGCGUACACGUUGCGACCCGAAAGAUGGUGAACUAUGCUUGUGCAGGUUGAAGCCAGAGGAAACUCUGGUGGAGGACCGCAACGAUUCUGACGUGCAAAUCGAUCGCCAGACAUGAGUAUAGGGGCGAAAGACUAAUCGAACCAUCUAGUAGCUGGUUCCCUCCGAAGUUUCCCUCAGGAUAGCUGGCAUUCUGAGAGACUAAACAGUUUUAUCCGGUAAAGCGAAUGAUUAGAGGUCUUGGGAGCGAAACGCUCUCAACCUAUUCUCAAACUUUAAAUGGGUGAGAAGCCUAACUCGCCUAAAUGGAGUUGGGCAUUGAAUGUGAGUGCCAAGUGGGCCAUUUUUGGUAAGCAGAACUGGCGCUGUGGGAUGAACCAGACGUUCGGUUAAGGUGCCUAAAGCAACGCUCAUGAGAUACCACAAAAGGUGUUGGUUGGUCCAGACAGCAGGACGGUGGCCAUGGAAGUCGGAAUCCGCUAAGGAGUGUGUAAC
rnacentral:rRNA from 1 species